AAACUACCAAACAGUAAAUAGAUAAGUUCUGAUAAGUGAGAUAAUUAAUU
rnacentral:guide_RNA from 1 species